CCAGGGUUGGCCGAGCGGUUUAGGCAACGAACUCAUAAUUCGUGCUAGGCAGGUUCAACUCCUGCACCCUGGA
rfam:Stanieria cyanosphaera PCC 7437, complete genome.